UGUGCCAGCAGCCGCGGUAAUACGUAGGGUGCAAGCGUUAAUCGGAAUUACUGGGCGUAAAGCGUGCGCAGGCGGUUUUGUAAGUCUGUCGUGAAAUCCCCGGGCUCAACCUGGGAAUUGCGAUGGAGACUGCAAGGCUAGAAUCUGGCAGAGGGGGGUAGAAUUCCACGUGUAGCAGUGAAAUGCGUAGAGAUGUGGAGGAACACCGAUGGCGAAGGCAGCCCCCUGGGUCAAGAUUGACGCUCAUGCACGAAAGCGUGGGGAGCAAACAGGAU
rnacentral:rRNA from 1 species